rnacentral:misc_RNA from 1 species
AUUUGAAUCAACACCAUUCAACAAAGUAAAGGAUCCUGAGUUAAAACGUAGAAAAUCGAAAAAAAUCGCGUAAACCCUCAACUUUAAAAGAACCAAUUCAGGUAGCUACACUCGAAAACCAACAAGGCGAAAAACGCCUCCAUUGCAGCAUCAUACAAAAUCUGGGAAAUCAGGAUUUUCACAGGUUUAUGUAAAAAAUGGCUUCUCUUGUCUAUUCAUCAGUAACACAUCCCUUGGAUGCAGAUUGCACAUUUUUUAUAUACUUG